UAGCGCUGAUGCCGAAACGACGGUGAGCGUGGUAAUAGCGCAAAUGAUGAUGAUUUUUUUUUCACUCACUUCUCCUCGCAGUCUCCGCUAGAUGCACUCCGCAAAACUCAUCCCUUUGAGAAAUUGCAGUUGGACAGGAAAAAACUAGAGAGCGAAGUCGUUGCGUUUGCACAGAACACGCGGAACAACAGUAGUCCCCAUCUCGCAAGACACAGGUGAACGAGUGGAAAGGGGCGCGCUAAACUUCAGCCCCGCCAGGCGCGUCUGCGUGCGCUCUAAUUCGCGUCGCUUGCAUGGAGUUGCUUUUUUUAAUCCGACGUAAAGCGGGCGUGAGGCAAUGCGAAUUCACCUGCGAGACCACUGUGACCACGCCGCGGAGAAGUGCGGUGGAUGCCAAAAUGAAGCGCGAUGAGAAGUUACGCUUUAAAAAUAUGAAAGAUGCUUUUGGCUGCACAGUAUUCGGAUCAGAUUUACGGGCUUGUCAAGCUGUUUCUGUGGAUUAUUAUUGAUCAUCCCGAUGAGUAAGAGCUUUAAUGAUAUGCUGCAUUUCACCGAGAGAAAGCCAAGAUCUCAAAACGGAGAAACAAAGCAGUGCAGAUUGUUCCACGGCAAACGACUGAACAUCGCACGCGAAAUUGAGUGAUUUCUGUAAGGAAUAUGUAGCGUGCAAAUGAUUGUUGAGGAAAUUUCGGAGAAAUACAAAUUGAUGCACUAGGAAAAAUAAGGUUGUGAGUAUUUCGUUUUAUCUUAUGCAACAAAAGUACUUGGGACGGGAACGGAGACACAAGUUACACCUAACUGAGGAUUUUACAGUUAGAUUACGAGACGGAAGUAAAAGAUGCGGUAGACUAUUUAAAGCUAUUUCCGUUCCACACAAAUCGAUUGCAUUUUAACGGCAAAACUGGAGGAGGAGUCGCCGAAGAAGCGGUGGAUCAUAGACGAAUAUAAAUUUUAAUUCGGAUUUUCUAGUCAUCUAGCAAUUUGUAUGUGUAUUGAUAUUGGUUUGAGUGGAAGAAUCUGGGGCCAGUGCCCGAAAAUAGGAUCAGCCUCGAGGAGUCAACACGUCUACACCGCAACACUGACUUUUGGGUUGCAAUAGAAGAUGAUGAAGAAAACAAGUAGUUUUGGAGACAGUACACCAGAAGUUAUGUAAUACACACCUAAAAUGACAUUUUGCGAGAAUUACAUUUGGAAAAACAGACUCUCUAUGUUUGGACUUUCAUGAUUCAUUUAGGGUCUUUUUUGACAAUCAGCAUCGACCCGUUUUAGCUCCGUGCAGCAGAUAAAUUUAAAUUUGAUGUCACACAAGGCAGCUGCUGCGUCGCCAUGACGACUGAGGAGUGUCCCGCGCCGCUGGGUGUGAGCCAGUUGGGAGCGGGGCUGUGCGAAGACUAUGGCCCCUCCCAGGGGGAUGACAUCAUUGAGGAGGCGGGUCCUUGCGACGACACCACCAGUGACCUCAGCACACUGGUGGUGCCCUUUCCGGAGCUGGCGCCGGUGGUCUUCUUCUGCCUCAAGCAGACCACCUGCCCACGUAACUUGUGCAUCCGCAUGGUCUCCAAUCCAUAUCCUCUCAGCACCCCCUAGAGGCCCAGGCCCACUUAUUCAUCACAUUUAAAGUAUGGCAAUUCAACAGCUGAGGUGAUAAGGUGCUUCUAAGAAUGUUGGCAGUGCUUGGCUAGUCUGCAGACAUCUCUGGUUGAAACUGGUACAUUUAUUGAGUUCCUGAAAGAUUGGUAGCAUAGAAGUAUGGAGUAUUAAUGAGGAGUGGAAAAAAAUCUUGCUGUAACUCUAGGAAACCUUCUAUACUUUGUGAGGUGUUUGCACAGUGUUUUGAGGUAAUGAAGUUACUCAUGCUUUGAAUUGUGUAACUAAUAAGAGUUAAACAUGCUUUGCUGAUUCUGGCAAACAAGUCAAACAAGACUUUUUUUAGACCUCCUACCUUUUCAGAUUUGAGAGGGAGUAUUUCUAAGUGGGUGUGUUCUACCAGUUAUAAAAAUGUGGCAACAUAUACAUGUGUGUUUAGGUUAGAUGUAAUGGAGACAUUUUUGAUCAACUCCCCAGUUUUGACCUUCAGAAAUGUCACUUUUGUAUUGGUGCAGUUGAAUCUUUUCUUUGUGUGUGUGUGUGUGUGUGUGUGUGUGGCUUUUUUUUAAAUGUACUCUUUGUCUGUAUGUAUUGGAUGUAUAAAAGUUAGCUCCUUUUGUGCAAGCUGACCAAAAGGAACACUGAGUGUUUCAUUUUUCUCAUCUUGUCACCAGUGGUAUUCAUUUUUCUUGCCCAC